rnacentral:tRNA from 1 species
GGGCCGCUAGCUCAAUUGGCAGAGCAGCUGACUCUUAAUCAGCGGGUUAGGGGUUCGAUUCCUCUGCGGCCCACCU